rnacentral:rRNA from 1 species
GAUGAACGCUGGCGGCGUGCCUAAUACAUGCAAGUCGAGCGAACAGAUAAGGAGCUUGCUCCUUUGACGUUAGCGGCGGACGGGUGAGUAACACGUGGGUAACCUACCUAUAAGACUGGGAUAACUUCGGGAAACCGGAGCUAAUACCGGAUAACAUUUGGAACCGCAUGGUUCUAAAGUGAAAGAUGGUUUUGCUAUCACUUAUAGAUGGACCCGCGCCGUAUUAGCUAGUUGGUAAGGUAACGGCUUACCAAGGCAACGAUACGUAGCCGACCUGAGAGGGUGAUCGGCCACCCUGGAACUGAGACACGGUCCAGACUCCUACGGGAGGCAGCAGUAGGGAAUCUUCCGCAAUGGGCGAAAGCCUGACGGAGCAACGCCGCGUGAGUGAUGAAGGGUUUCGGCUCGUAAAACUCUGUUAUUAGGGAAGAACAAAUGUGUAAGUAACUGUGCACGUCUUGACGGUACCUAAACAGAAAGCCACGGCUAACUACGUG